AAUGAACGUUGGCAGCGUGGAUUAGGCAUGCAAGUCGAGCGACAAGGUCCUGGACGUGGAGGAGCGGCAAACGGGGUAGGUAAUACAUCGGAACGUACCCUCACGUCUGGGAUAGCCACGGGAAACUGUGGGUAAUACUGGAUAAUCUCACCACUUGUGAAGAGUGGUGAGCAAAGGUCCGCCGCGUGAGGAGCGGCCGAUGCGAUACUAGAUAGUUGGUGGGGGUAAUGGCCUACCAAGUCUAAGAUGUCUAGGGGGUGUGAGAGCAUGGCCCCCACCACUGGGACUGAGACACUGCCCAGACACCUACGGGUGGCUGCAGUCGAGAAUCUUUGGCAAUGGGCGCAAGCCUGACCAAG
rnacentral:rRNA from 1 species